UCACAGUUCAUUACCAAAGUAGAGUAGUGGAAAUCACCACCAUCAAGCAGCUCUCUUUUCGUAGUAAUAAUAAGACGUGAAAUUGAGAUAUCACGAGAGUUCAAGAUUUAACUUUACAAAGUCAGAAGAAGCUUUCUUGUUCAAGAGGAGAGGUCAAGACGGACUUCUGCUCAACAAAAUAUUAUUAAAAAAUUAUUUAUCAUCACAAUGUUUCGGAAUAUUAUCCUCGGUGUGGUUGUGAUCCUUGGAGUAGCACUUGCCAGACUCACAUUCGCCUUUCCAUAUCAAUAUCAACAGAAUAAAUUGGACCUGGAUCGAUACUACACUUGGCGAAAUACAGAUUAUGAACUGCUGGCCCUACCUUCGGAAGACCACCAAUACUCCGUACGAGUUCCUCCUCCUCCUGGUUUCCGGAAUACACGGAGAAAACGGGAAAUAAAUCACACUUUCCAUCUCAGGAGAUAAUGAGGAACUCGAGAAACUGGAACUGAAUAGAUUUAAACUUUUACAUGAAUAUCUGUAAAACUAUUAUAGCACUGAAUAGGUUGAUAGUUGAUACGGUAUAAAACGCUUAUGUAUAUACAUAUUUAAUUGUCUCUAUGAAUGUACGUACAUGGUGCAUAAAUAAAUACCAGUACAUACUGCAUAUAGUACAUUUUCAUAUUGAUUAGAACCAUCACCACUUAAUAUUUAUAAUUUUAUUCAAUCUCAAUAAUUUCUGCCUGUUUGUUGUUGAAUGUAUACUUAUUAAGUAGUACUUAAUACGAAUCAGAUCUCAAAUUGCAUUCAAAGCAAUAUGAGAAAGGUAGGUAUGUAUGCAUUUAGAAUAGUAACAAUAAAAAGCUGAUAGAAAAUACAUUUUUGUUAUAUUUCCAAUUUUCUGAAAUUUUUGACAAACGCAGAUUUUUAAUAUCAAUAUACUGUAAUAUGAGUAUGAGAAAUCAGUAAUUUAAUAGGAACAAGAAUAAAAUAAAGGCGUAUACACAUAUACAUGUGUGUGUGCAUAUAUGUAUUGGUA